UACCUGGUUGAUCCUGCCAGUAGUCAUAUGCUUGUCUCAAAGAUUAAGCCAUGCAAGUCUAAGUACGAGCUCUCGUACAGUGAAACUGCGAAUGGCUCAUUAAAUCAGUUAUGGUUCAUUUGAUCGUACAGUUUACUUGGAUAACUGUGGUAAUUCUAGAGCUAAUACAUGCGAGAAGCGCCGACCUCGCGGGAGGCGUGCAUUUAUCAGACCAAAAACCGGCCGCGUCUUCGGGCGCGUUCGCCUUGGUGACUCUGGAUAACUUUGCGGAUCGCACGGUCUAGCACCGGCGACGGAUCAUUCAAGUGUCUGCCCUAUCAACUUUCGUCGGUACGGUAUUUGCCUACCGAGGUUCUUACGGGUGACGGGGAAUCAGGGUUCGAUUCCGGAGAGGGAGCCUGAGAAACGGCUACCACAUCCAAGGAAGGCAGCAGGCGCGCAAAUUACCCAUUCCCGACGCGGGGAGGUAGUGACGAAAAAUAACAAUGCAGGACUCGUUCGAGGCCCUGUAUUGGAAUGAGUACACUUUAAAAGCUUUAACGAG
rnacentral:ncRNA from 1 species